CCCUAAACGAUGAUGCUAGAUAUCAGAGUAUCGACCCUCCUGUUGUCGGUAAAAAAACUAACGCAUUAAGCAUCCCGCCUGGGGAGUACGUCGCAAGACUAAAACUCAAAGAAUAGACGGACCCGCACAACAAGGACAUGUGGUUUAAUUCGACGCUAAGCGAAGAACCUUACCUAGGUUUGACAUGAUGCUGCAAGCCACUGGAAACAGAGGCCGCCUUCGAGGGUGCAUCACAGGUGCUGCAUGGUUGCCGUCAGCUCGUGUCGUGAGAUGUACCGUUAAGUCGGGUAACGAGCGCAACCCCUAUCCCGUGUUGUAUUUCACGGGAGACCGCCUCGGAUAACGGGGAGGAAGGUGGGGAUGACGUCAAAUCAGCAUGGCUCUUACAUCUAGGGCUACACACGUGCUACAAUCGCGUUGACAAUGGGUUGCCAAACCGCAAGGUGGAGCUAAUCCCAACAAACAACGCGUCAGUUCGGAUUGGGGGCUGCAAUUCGCCCCCAUGAAGCCGGAUUUGCUAGUAACGGCGGAUCACUACGCCGCCGUGAAUACGUUCUCGGGUCUUGUACUCACCGCCCGUCACGUCAAGAGAGUUAGAAAUGCCCGAAGGCCCCGUUGAGGGGACUAAGGCAGAGCUAGCGAUAGGGACGAAGUCGUAACAAGGCAUCCGUAGCGGAAGCUGUGGAUGGAUCACC
rnacentral:rRNA from 1 species